GUAUGAAAUGAUGGCAUACCAUCUUUCGGGACUGACUAUAAUGGAGAGACUUUUCUCACUUUACUGAUCAUAC